CUCUCUUUUUUUAUUUUUUUAUUUUUAACAUGUUUAAUGUAAAAUGUUAUCAUUUAGAUAUGGAACUUCUUAGUAAAACAUUAAAGUAGUCUGUUUUGAAUAUCUGCAUUGCCAUAACUUCCUUGCCCUUCAUUAGUUUUCCUUUUAGAGAAUUUUCAUGGAACACAAAACUGACAAAAUUUGUCCAUCGUACAGAAUCAAACUAACUGUAGACUGUUCGGUAUGCAGAAUUAACUAGCUGCCAAUACUCUUUAAAAAUGCACUGCUUAUUGACUUUAAAUGUCAUUGCCUUUAUAUUUAAUUCGAAUUCAAAUGCUGAACAUUUCUCCUCUUUUAUGGCUGUGAAAUAUUAAAUUUCAAAAUCAAUUAACGGGAAACUAGAUAUCUUGAAAGCUUGGGCUAGUGCAGUGAAAAUUGGUUUUCUAUAUAGAGUAUGUGUAAUUAUGAUGUAGUCAACACUUUCAGAAUUCAUAAAAGUCACCACUAACAUGAUAUCCAGGAUACACAGACACAAUACUAUCUCUGAUGGCUGCAGCGAUAAAAUAAUUCACAGGUGUUUUUUUUUUUUUUAUCAAAAUCACAAGUUAAAAAAAGAAGUGGGUCGAUAUAAUAGCAAGAGAAAUAGUGAAAUAUCUGUCCUAUUAAUGUUGUAAGACCACACACAAAAUUUUAUCGCAACAACAAACAACACUUCUGGGAGCUUGGACAACAAUUUAAAAUUCCAAAGUACAAUUGCCUCCUAGUCUUGUAAAACACUGUGGUUGUUUUUACAUUCCACUUGAUUUGUUGUAAAGAGUAGAUAAUAUCACACUAAUCUUUAUCAAUGAUCACAAAGAAAAUAUUAACGGCUCAUACAAACUUGAUCAUCAUUUCCCAUUGUAAGUCUACAUGUAUAUACCCAUAUGUUCUCCCGGGUUAGGAAAGAAACAUUUCAGACAAUGAGUGAAGGGGUCCAUUUACUGGUAUUUAGCACAACUAUAUAACUGCAGUUUGUUAUUUGGAAAAAAACAUACUCGUGUUUUUCUUACGACUUUGAAUCAAAUGCAUCUACCUGUACACUACUACUGCAUGGAGUAACUUAAACCAAAGAGUGGGUACAUAUCGAAAUAUGUACAUUCCCAUGGGGAUCCGGGUUAGAAUAGGUCCUCAGUACCCCUUGCUUGUCGUAAGAGGAAACUAAAUUGGGCGGUCCUUCGGAUAAGACGGCAAAACCCGAGGCCCAGUGUCACAGCAGGUGUGGCACGAUAAAAGAUCCCUCCCUGCUCAAAGGCCGUAAGCGCUGAGCAUAGGCUUAAAUUUUGCAGCCCUUCAUCAGCAAUAGUGACGUCAAUGUCUCCAUAUGAAAGAUUCUAGAGAGGGGCAUUAAACAAUACACAACCAACUACAACCCUGAACGGACAUACAGGCAGACAUACAGACAUCAAAUAUGUCCCAUCUAAAGACGAAAGUACAAAAGCACUGGGCACACAAAUACAUGUAUAUCAUGAUCAAUAUGUUGUCAUUAUUUUCUUUCACAUGAAAAGCGAUUCUUGUGUUACUUACAUACUAUGAAAUUAGCAUUCUUAGUUAACCAAUACAUGUUUUAGUUCAAGAUCAAUAUUUCUGCCAAAUAUUUCUUUAGAAGUUAAACUGUAUGCUGUUGAACUUAAAUUUGAACACUAUAAAAUUCUGAAUUCAAUAGAGAUAUUUCAAAUAUUGGUAUUACGAUAAAAAUCAGCCUUUAAAAACAAGCCUUUGAUACAAAGGGAGAGAUAACACAAACAUUGUGGAAUAUCUUUUGAAGAUUUGUGGGUAUACUAAGUUAUCAAGUGCAGUCCGAUGGUAAGGGAGCAUAUGUAGGGAGUUAAAUGAUCCUAGACUUAUAAGUUCUGUUUUUAUCUUGUCAAAAGAUAAGACAGACAAGAGGAUCCAGACAGACAAGAAGAGCCGGACAGACAAGAGGAUCUGGACAGACAAGAGGAUCCGGAUGGACAAAAAGAUCCGGACAGACAAGAAGAUCUGGACAGACAAGAAGAUCUGGACAGACAAGAGGAUCCGGAUGGACAAAAAGAUCUGGACAGGCAAGAAGAUCUGGACAGACAAGAAGAUCUGGACAAAAUAAAAUCAAGCCUAUCAUGCAGGCUUAAAUAUAGAUCAUGAUGGAUCAUAACUAACCAAUGUUUUAAUCUCGGUGAAAAUCAUUAAGAAAAUGAAACCCAUACAUAUAUUUUCUUAUAUAAAAAUUAUAAUGUUUUUAAUCUAACCUAAAUUUUUCAUGGAUUUGACAAUGUUGUAUUCUUUAAAUUGAGCUUAGAUUUUAAGUACAAGAGCAAUUAUAAAACACUGCAUUAUGAUGACAAGUUGUGAUUCAAAAAUAAAGACCCCCCUGUUGAUUUACUAGAAGACAUGCUGAUUGUAACCAGGGGCUAAACAG